GGCUGGUUAGCUCAGUUGGUCGGAGCAUGGUACUUGUAAAGCCAAGGUCCUGGGUUCAAUCCCCACAUUGGCCA